rnacentral:rRNA from 1 species
UACGGAGGAUGCAAGCGUUAUCAGGAAUUAUUGGGCGUAAAGCGUCCGUAGGUGGUUAAGUAAGUCUGCUGUUAAAGCGUGGAGCUUAACUCCAUAUCGGCAGUGGAAACUACUUGACUUGAGUGCGGUAGGGGUCAGGGGAAUUCCCAGUGUAGCGGUGAAAUGCGUAGAUAUUGGGAAGAACACCGGUGGCGAAAGCGCCUGACUGGGACUGCACUGACACUGAGGGACGAAAGCUAGGGGAGCCAAAGGG